rnacentral:rRNA from 1 species
GGCCUUUUGAUUAUAAUUUAAGGUCGGGCCUGCCCAAUGAAAAAUUUAAUGGCCGCGGUAUAUUAACUGUGCAAAGGUAGCAUAAUCAUUAGUUUUUUAAUUGAAAGCUGGAAUGAAGGGUUUAAUGAAAAAAGUUCUGUCUCUAUUUAAAUUUAUUAGAAUUUUAUUUUUAAGUUAAAAAGCUUAAAUAAUUAUUGAAGACGAGAAGACCCUAUAGAGUUUUAUAUUUUUAGAGAUUACUGUAUUUGGUGAAUUUUAGCUUAAUUUUUGAAAAUAUUUAGUUGGGGUGAUUGAAAAAUUGAAAGAACUUUUUUUUAUUGGAACAUAAAUGUAUGAGUAUAUGAUCCUUUUUUUAGAUUAAAAGAGCAAAUUACCUUAGGGAUAACAGCGUAAUUUUUUUUAGAGUUCUUAUCGAAAAAAAAGAUUGCGACCUCGAUGUUGGAUUAAAAUAAGUUUUUGGCGCAAAAGCUAAAAAACUAGGUCUGUUCGACCUUUGAAUUUUUACAUGAUCUGAGUUUAGACCGGUUUGAG